UACAGAGGUCUCAAGCGUUGUUCGGAUUCAUUGGGCGUAAAGAGCGUGUAGGCGGCCCGGUAAGUCCGCUGUGAAAGUCCAGGGCUCAGCCCUGGGAUGCCGGUGGAUACUGUCGGGCUCGAGUCCGGAAGAGGAGUGUGGAAUUCCUGGUGUAGCGGUGAAAUGCGCAGAUAUCAGGAGGAACACCAAUGGCGAAGGCAGCACUCUGGGACGUGACUGACGCUCAGGUGCGAAAGCUAGGGGAGCGAACAG
rnacentral:rRNA from 1 species